UUUAUGGAGAGUUUGAUCCUGGCUCAGGAUGAACGCUGGCGGCGUGCCUAAUACAUGCAAGUCGAGCGAACGGACGAGAAGCUUGCUUCUCUGAUGUUAGCGGCGGACGGGUGAGUAACACGUGGAUAACCUACCUAUAAGACUGGGAUAACUUCGGGAAACCGGAGCUAAUACCGGAUAAUAUUUUGAACCGCAUGGUUCAAAAGUGAAAGACGGUCUUGCUGUCACUUAUAGAUGGAUCCGCGCUGCAUUAGCUAGUUGGUAAGGUAACGGCUUACCAAGGCAACGAUGCAUAGCCGACCUGAGAGGGUGAUCGGCCACACUGGAACUGAGACACGGUCCAGACUCCUACGGGAGGCAGCAGUAGGGAAUCUUCCGCAAUGGGCGAAAGCCUGACGGAGCAACGCCGCGUGAGUGAUGAAGGUCUUCGGAUCGUAAAACUCUGUUAUUAGGGAAGAACAUAUGUGUAAGUAACUGUGCACAUCUUGACGGUACCUAAUCAGAAAGCCACGGCUAACUACGUGCCAGCAGCCGCGGUAAUACGUAGGUGGCAAGCGUUAUCCGGAAUUAUUGGGCGUAAAGCGCGCGUAGGCGGUUUUUUAAGUCUGAUGUGAAAGCCCACGGCUCAACCGUGGAGGGUCAUUGGAAACUGGAAAACUUGAGUGCAGAAGAGGAAAGUGGAAUUCCAUGUGUAGCGGUGAAAUGCGCAGAGAUAUGGAGGAACACCAGUGGCGAAGGCGACUUUCUG
rnacentral:rRNA from 1 species